rnacentral:lncRNA from 1 species
AUCGACGGUCAACUACGAGCCACAUGCGCACCACAGGAGAUCCAUCCUCAAAAUUAUAACCUUGGUGUCAAUCAUGCAAGAGAAAAGCUCAUCCGAUACAAUGCAAGACAGCCCAGCGCAAUCAACGCUCGCUGUCAGCUAGCAAGCGAGUGAGACCCGUUUUCUCGCAUGUAGCACCCUUCCCAUCGAGCCCAGACAGUACCACCCCGGAUGUUGGGUCGGUUAACCACGGCAUCG